CUCCCUCCGGCGACGCCGCACGAGCACAAUCGAACCGGACUAUCUCCUUGCCCUAAUCUGCCGCCGGCUGAGUUCCUGCUACCUUUUUCCUCUAGCCGACGCCAGCCACUUGAGUAGCGCCGGCCACCCCCGAUCGCCGGCACUCGAGUACCACUGUUUGGGUUCUUCUGUGCCCUAGCUUCUGCCGCCGACGACGAGAGCCACUGCCGAGUCCUUCCCUGUGCCCUAGCCGACACUUGCUCCCGAGCCACUUCGACCACCCCGACUGUUGACCGAGCAGCACCGCUGUAAAUCCUUUCCGGCACCUCUAUCCUUCCGAGCAGUGCAGAGCUUGGAUGUUCUUCUCUGUUAUUGAUCAAUCCUUCUUUGUGGUGGAUCAACAAGCACAACUAUGAGUUAGCGAACGGUCUGAAGUUGCUGGAUUCCGGUCUUUCCGUUGUGAAUCGGAUCAGUUGCCAUCACAGACGACUGAAGGAGAGUUAGAGGACUUUGAUUCGAGACGAGC